rnacentral:rRNA from 1 species
AUGCAAGUCGAACGGUAACAGGUAGCUUGCUAUGCUGACGACCGGCGCACGGGUGCGUAACGCGUAUAGAACCUACCUUAUAGUAAGGGAUAGCCCAGAGAAAUUUGGAUUAAUACCUUAUAGUGUUAUUGAAUGGCAUCGUUUAAUAAUUAAAGAUUUAUUGCUAUAAGAUGGCUAUGCGUUCUAUUAGCUAGUUGGUAUGGUAACGGCAUACCAAGGCUACGAUAGAUAGGGGUCCUGAGAGGGAGAUCCCCCACACUGGUACUGAGACACGGACCAGACUCCUACGGGAGGCAGCAGUGAGGAAUAUUGGACAAUGGAGGCAACUCUGAUCCAGCCAUGCCGCGUGUAGGAAGACUGCCCUAUGGGUUGUAAACUACUUUUAUAGAGGAAGAAACGGCACUACGUGUAGUGUUUUGACGGUACUCUACGAAUAAGGAUCGGCUAACUCCGUGCCAGCAGCCGCGGUAAUACGGAGGAUCCAAGCGUUAUCCGGAAUCAUUGGGUUUAAAGGGUCCGUAGGCGGGUUUGUAAGUCAGUGGUGAAAGUUUUCGGCUCAACCGGAAAAUUGCCAUUGAUACUGCAAGUCUUGAAUCAUUGUGAAGUGGUUAGAAUGUGUAGUGUAGCGGUGAAUGCAUAGAUAUUACACAGAAUACCGAUUGCGAAGGCAGAUCACUAACAAUGUAUUGACGCUAAGG